rnacentral:rRNA from 1 species
AGUUAAGUCAAACAUAUACGCUAUUAACAUAUAUGCAUUUAAUCCUUCCUGACAGAGGUUUACAAUCACGAGAACCUUCAUCCCUCACGCGGCGUCGCUGCGUCAGGCUUUCGCCCAUUGCGCAAAAUUCCCC